rnacentral:rRNA from 1 species
CUGGAGCACUGUGGUACAGGUCGCAUCAGUAUUGACGAACGCUGGCGUGGAUGCUUUACACACAAGUCGAAUCGGCAGCACGGACUUCGGUCUGGUGGCGAGUGGCGAACGGGUGAGUAAUGUAUCGGAACGCCUAGUAGCGGGGGAUAACUACGCGAAAGCGUAGCUGCUAAUACUGCACGCCUUCGGGGGAAAGCGGGGACCUUCGGGCCUCGCACCAUUAGAGCGGCCGAUAUCGGAUUAGCUAGUUGAGUGCAGCCGCUCACCAAGGCGACGAUCCGUAGCCGGUUUGAGAGGACGACCAGCCACACUGGGACUGGAGACACGGCCCAGACUCCUACGGGAGGCAGCAGUGGGGAAUUUUGGGAUAAAUGGGGAACCCUGAUCCAGCCAUCCCGCGUGCGAUGAAGGCUCGCAAGGUUGUAAAGCACUCUUGCAGGAGAAACGGCACGGGAUAAUACCCCGUGCAACGACGGUACCGCAGAAUAAGCACUGGCUAACUACGUGCCAGCAGCCGCGGUAAUACGUAGGGUGCAAGCGUUAAUCGGAAUUACUGGCGUAAGCGCGCAGGCGGUUCGGAAAGAAAGAUGUGAAAUCCCAGAGCUAACUGGAACUGCAUUUUUAACUACCGAGCUAGAGGUCAGAGGGAGGCGGAAUUCCGCGCAGGCAGCGAAACGCGGAUAUGCGGAGGAAACACCGAUACGGUGUUUCCGGGAUGGGAAUACCAGACGUCAUGCACGGUGUUGCAUAAACAGGAUUAGAUACCCCGGUAGUCCACGCCCUAAACGAUGUCAACUAGCUGUUGGGGCUCUCGCCUUGGCAGCGCAGCUAACGUGAAGUUGACCGCCUGGGAGUACGGUCGCAAGAUUAAAACUCAAAGGAAUUGACGGGGACUCGCACAAGCGGUGGAUGAUGUGGAUUAAUUCGAUGCAACGCGAAAAACCUUACCUACCCUUGACAUGUCUGGAAUCCCGAAGAGAUUUGGGAGUGCUCGCAAGAGAACCGGAACACAGGUGCUGCAUGGCUGUCGUCAGCUCGUGUCGUGAGAUGUUGCUAAGUCCUGCAACGAGCGCAACUUUUGUCACAGUUGGUACAGCGGCGAAUUUCCUAACAGACUGCCGGUGACAAACCGGAGGAAGGUGGGGAUGACGUCAAGUCCUCAUGGCCCUUAUGGUAGGGCUUCACACGUCAUACAAUGGUCGGGACAGAGGGUCGCCAACCCGCGAGGGGGAGCCAAUCCCAGAAACCCGAUCGUAGUCCGGAUCGCAGUCUGCAACUCGACUGCGUGAAGUCGAAUCGCUAGUAAUCGCGGAUCAGCAUGUCGCGGUGAAUACGUUCCCGGGUCUUGUACACACCGCCCGUCACACCAUGGGAGUGGGUUUUACCAGAAGUAGUUAGCUCAACCGUAAGAGUGGGCGGGUUUACCACGGUGGUAUUCAUGACUUAGUGUCAAAUAGCGGUAG